rnacentral:rRNA from 1 species
GACGAACGCUGGCGGCGUGGAUUAGGCAUGCAAGUCGAACGGUAUCAUCCUUUCGGGGGUGAGAGAGUGGCGAACUGGUGAGUAACACGUAGGUUAUCUACCCUCAAGACGGGGACAACCCAGGGAAACUUGGGCUAAUACCGGAUGUGAGCAACUUUUAGUUGUUUGAAAGGUGGCGUAAGCUGUCGCUUGGGGAUGAGCCUGCGUCCUAUUAGUUAGUUGGUGAGGUAACGGCUCACCUAGGCAAUGAUAGGUAGGCGGCCUUAACGGGUGGUCGCCCACACUUGGGAUUGAGAUACGGCCCAGACUCCUACGGGAGCAGCAGUCGAGAAUAGUCUACAAUGGUCGGAAGACUGAUAGUGCGACGCCGCGUGAACGAUGAAUCCCUUCGGGGUGUAAAGUUCUUUUAUAUGUGAGCAGUGCUUCUUAUAUUAACAGUAAUGGGGAAGGAGAUAUUAGCAUAUGAAUAAAGCAAACGGCUAAACUCCGUGCCCAGCAGCCGCGGU